rnacentral:rRNA from 1 species
UACGUAGGGUCCGAGCGUUUGUCCGGAAUUACUGGGCGUAAAGAGCUCGUAGGUGGUUUGUCGCGUUGUUCGUGAAAACUCACAGCUUAACUGUGGGCGUGCGGGCGAUACGGGCAGACUGGAGUACUGCAGGGGAGACUGGAAUUCCUGGUGUAGCGGUGGAAUGCGCAGAUAUCAGGAGGAACACCGGUGGCGAAGGCGGGUCUCUGGGCAGUAACUGACGCUGGAGGAGCGAAAAGCCGUGGGGGAGCGAACAGGGA